AUACGUAGGUGACAAGCGUUACCCGGAUUUACUGGGCGUAAAGGGCGUGUAGGCGGUCUUGCAAGUCAGAAGUGAAAUUCCUGAGCUCAACUCGGGCGCUGCUUCUGAAACUGCAGGACUUGAGUGCUGGAGGGGAUAGCGGAAUUCCUAGUGGAGCGGUAAAAUGCGCAGAUAUUAGGAAGAACACCGGUGGCGAAGGCGGCUAUCUGGACAGUAAAGGACGCUGAGGCGCGAAAGCGGGGGGAGCAAACAGGAUUAGAUACCCUGGUAGGCCACGCCGUAAACGAUGAAUACUAGGUGUAGGGGGUAUCGACUCCCUCUGUGCCGCAGUUAACACAAUAAGUAUUCCGCCUGGGGAGUACGGCCGCAAGGUUGAAACUUAAAGGAAUUGACGGGG
rnacentral:rRNA from 1 species